CGUAUCAUAAAUAAUAUAUUAUUUUUAUAUAAUUAUAUAAAAAUUUGAAUUUUUUAAAUAUCUAUAUAUGAGUUUAAUUAAAAUCUGUAAUUUAGCAAUUACUAUUGUUCUUCUACUAAUUGAUGACAUUUAUUAUUAAAAAAGUAUUAGAUAUUAGAGGUUUUUAAUUAUUCAAAUAAUUAAAAAUAUAUAUAUUAGGUUUAUUUUUAUCUUUGGAUUAAAUAUAUAAUUUUUGAGUAGGAGGAUAUCCUCCAAUCAAUAUAUGAACAAAAAGUCCAAGAAGACAACUAUUCUCAUUGUCUAAAAAUAUCAAUUCAAUAGUUCAAUCUACUAUUCAUUUAAUCCAAUUUUACUUAUAAUAUACAUCAUUUAAUUUAAUAAAAAAUAAAUUAAGUUUUUAGAAAAGUACUCACUUACUCAAUGAAUAUGUAUAUAUAUAUAUAUAUAUAUAUAUAUAUAUCAUAAAAAUAAUUUUAAAAUAUUAAAUUAUUGAUACCAGGUUGCAUAAGAAAUAUACAUACCUAUUUAGUUAAAUUAACUGUAAUUACUAUU
rnacentral:lncRNA from 1 species